UACGAAGGGGGCUAGCGUUGCUCGGAAUUAUUGGGCGUAAAGCGCGUGUAGGCGGCUUUGCAAGUCGGGUGUGAAAGCCCUCAGCUCAACUGAGGAAGUGCGCCCGAAACUGCAGAGCUUGAGUGCCGGAGAGGGUGGCGGAAUUCCCCAAGUAGAGGUGAAAUUCGUAGAUAUGGGGAGGAACACCGGUGGCGAAGGCGGCCACCUGGACGGUGACUGACGCUGAGACGCGAAAGCGUGGGGAGCAAACAGG
rnacentral:rRNA from 1 species